rnacentral:lncRNA from 1 species
UGAAAAGGGAAAGAGGUCUCAAGGAUCCUCUUUUAUUUCAUAGUCUUUUGUGUUUGUUGAGGUAAAGGGUGAAGCAAAUGGGAGUAGGUAUUCUGUAUAAUUGGUUGAGGGAAUUCUCCAACACCUCUGCUGGGCAAGCUUCUUGCAAUUUUCAUCAUCGGUGGUUGGAAAAAUUAAUGCAUCGUUGUGCUUCUGAAGUGGAAUAAUAACUCUAGUGUGUGUUAGACGAG